UGAUCCAGUUUCUAAUCAAAAACAAAAUGAAAGGGGAAUUAGGUUAGAAAUGUGGCUAUUGAACUUAUCUGAAGAAACAUUCUUCCUCACAAGCAAUAACAUGGCGCGGCGGUGGCUGACUUCCUCUCAUCUUGUGACCGACAGCGUCUUCUUCUUUUCAACUCGCGGCGGCCGGACCCUCCUUUCUCCGGCGAAAUUUCACUCGGCCACCACCUGAGCGACAAAACCUCCUCACCUCUCAUUCAUCUCUCUCGACUACUCCCCGAUUCAACAACGAUGAGAAAUUUCGGCGGUGAUUCGGAAGCCACAAUGACGAUGAGGACUCCAGAAUGAUGAAUGGUUGAUGAACGAUGCGUUGUUGUCGAUUUGUCGAUUUUGAAAUUCGUUGAUGAUUAGAGAUUGUUGUUGCGUGUUAGAUCAUGAUGAUGAUUGAAGACUGUUGCGGAUUGACAAAUGUAGCGAUGAAGAUUGGAGAAUCGGUUCCACGAAGAUGAAGAAGAAUUUGAAGGUGUCGAUGAAGGUUGUUGGUGAUUUUCUGAGUUUGUGAUUGGUGAAUUUUCUUGUUCGAUGAAGAUUGUUGAAAUUGAGGGAGAAAGAUUCCAAGGAGAUCGAGAUAAUUUUGAUGAUGAUGAAUCUUGAAGAAGACGGAAGAAGGUUCCUUGAGAGUGAAGGUUGUUUUGGUGAGGAUUAUUGAGGGAAGUUGAAAUUCGGUUCCCGCAGAGAUGAAGAAGAGUGAAGGUUUCGUGGUCCAUUGGUGAGAGGUGGUGAACAAUGAAGAUGAAGGUGGAUCGGAGAAUUCAGUUACGAUUUUCUGUUACAGGUUUUGUUGAAUUUUGUGAAGAAGAUGAAGAUGGAUUUUGCGGUGAAGAUGAAUGAUGAAGGUUCUUGGAGAGAAAGGUUCUAAAGAAGAUUGAGUAUGAAGAUGAAGAUUGAAGAUGAGAGAGUUCAGUUAUGGUGAGAAUUCUGUUAUGACAUUUUUUCUGUGCCCCAAAAUUCUGUUACAUGCUAUUCUUUUUCUGCUAUGUGAUCUUCUGAUGCAAGGUUCGAUGAAGGGCCCGGUUUUUGUUUCGGUUUGAGGAAUUAUUGAACCCUUUUUUAGUGCUGAACCGGAAUCGAUUCCAUGAUAUUUUGUUUCCUUUUUCAAACUGAUGCGGCUUAAUCUUUAGUAAUGCAGGCCGGUUCUUUUAGUGCAGGGCGGUUUGUUACUGCAGAGAGUCAGUGGUGAAGAAGUUUGGUUUGAACUUGACUUCUUUUGUAAUGAUUUCUUUGUGAAAUUCUCAUGAAGUGUAAUGUGAUUUUAUUUUUGUAAAUUUCUUUUGGGGACUUUGUUUGAAUUCAAGUUUAAUAAACUUCCAAUUUUGUAUCCAAAUUUCUUUGGC